GACGAACGCUGGCGGCGUGCCUAAUACAUGCAAGUUGAGCGAUGAAGAUUGGUGCUUGCACCAAUUUGAAGAGCAGCGAACGGGUGAGUAACGCGUGGGGAAUCUGCCUUUGAGCGGGGGACAACAUUUGGAAACGAAUGCUAAUACCGCAUAACAACUUUAAACAUAAGUUUUAAGUUUGAAAGAUGCAAUUGCAUCACUCAAAGAUGAUCCCGCGUUGUAUUAGCUAGUUGGUGAGGUAAAGGCUCACCAAGGCGAUGAUACAUAGCCGACCUGAGAGGGUGGUCGGCCACAUUGGGACUGGGACACGGCCCAAACUCCUACGGGAGGCAGCAGUAGGGAAUCUUCGGCAAUUGACGAAAGUCUGACCGAGCAACGCCGCGUGAGUGAAGAAGGUUUUCGGAUCGUAAAACUCUGUUGGUAGAGAAGAACGUUGGUGAGAGUGGAAAGCUCAUCAAGUGACGGUAACUACCCAGAAAGGGACGGCUAACUACGUG
rnacentral:rRNA from 1 species